UUAAGCAUAUCAAUAAGCGGAGGAAAAGAAACUAACAAGGAUUCCCCUAGUAACUGCGAGUGAAGAGGGAAGAGCUCAAAUUUGUAAUCUGGCAGUCCUUGGCUGUCCGAGUUGUAAUCUAGAGAAGUGCUACCCGUGCUGGACCGUGUACAAGUCUCCUGGAAUGGAGCAUCAUAGAGGGUGAGAAUCCCGUCUUUGACAUGGA
rnacentral:rRNA from 1 species